UAGGGAAUCUUCCGCAAUGGGCGAAAGCCUGCCGGAGCAACGCCGCGUGAGUGAUGAAGGUCUUCGGAUCGUAAUACUCUGUUAUUAGGGAAGAAUAAAUGUGUAAGUAACUAUGCCUGCCUUGACGGUAUCUAAUCAGAAAGCCACGGCUAACUACGUGCCAGCAGCCGCGGUAAUACGUAGGUGGCAAGCGUUAUCCGGAAUUAUUGGGCGUAAAGCGCGCGUAGGCGGUUUUUUAAGUCUGAUGUGAAAGCCCACGGCGCAACCGUGGAGUGUCGUUGGAGACUGGAACGCUUGAGUGCAGAAGAGGAAAGUGGAAUUCCAUGUGUGGCGGUGAAAUGCGCAGAGAUAUGGAGGAACACCAGUGGCGAAGGCGACUUUCUGGACUGUAUCAGACGCUGAUGUGCGAAAGCGUGAGGAUCAAGCAGG
rnacentral:rRNA from 1 species